AAGAAACCAACAGGGAUUGCCCCAGUAGCGGCGAGUGAAGCGGCAAGAGCUCAGAUUUGAAAUCGUGCUAAUUUUUUUGGCACGAGUCGUAGAGUGUAGGCGGGAGUCUUUGUGGAGCACGGUGUCCAAGUCCCUUGGAACAGGGCGCCUGAGAGGGUGAGAGCCCCGUGGGGUGCCGUGCGAAGCUUUGAGGCCCUGCUGACGAGUCGAGUUGUUUGGGAAUGCAGCUCCAAGUGGGUGGUAAAUUCCAUCUAAGGCUAAAUAUUGGCGAGAGACCGAUAGCGAACAAGUACUGUGAAGGAAAGAUGAAAAGCACUUUGAAAAGAGAGUGAAACAGCACGUGAAAUUGUUGAAAGGGAAGGGUAUUGGGCUCGACAUGGGGGGUGCGCACCGCUGUCUCUUGUAGGCGGCGCUCUGGGCGCCCUCUGGGCCAGCAUCGGUUCCUGCUGCGGGAGAAGGGGCUCCGGAAAGUGGCUCUUCGGAGUGUUAUAGCCGGGGCCAGAUGCCGCGUGUGGGGACCGAGGACUGCGGCUUCUGUCUCGGAUGCUGGCAUAACGGCGCAAUACCGCCCGUCUUGAAACACGGACC
rnacentral:rRNA from 2 species